rnacentral:rRNA from 1 species
UACGUAGGGUGCGAGCGUUAAUCGGAAUUACUGGGCGUAAAGCGUGCGUAGGCGGUCCGCAAAGUCUGAUGUGAAAGCCCCGGGCUCAACCUGGGAACUGCAUUGGAAACUAACGGGCUCGAGUGUGGCAGAGGGGGGUGGAAUUCCACGUGUAGCAGUGAAAUGCGUAGAGAUGUGGAGGAACACCGAUGGCGAAGGCAGCCCCCUGGGCUAACACUGACGCUGAGGCGACGAAAGCGUGGGGAGCAAACAGG